GUUGCUGGCCCCCCACUUCCGCGUCCCGCCGAGGAUCGGGAUGAGCGAAGGGAGUGAGCGAGAUCUCUCCCUGCAGCAAGCCAGAACCUCGUAAGAGCCCCCCGGGGAACAACCCUGGGAGCUCUGUCGGCCAACCCCUGUAUCUUCAGCAUCUACUCUGUCCAAGACAGUGUUUGGGCGCUAAACUAAACAAAGAACCCGCUCUCAGGAGGUUUUCUGGUGUAGGUGUUGGGCGUGGGGCGACACGGGAAACUCCCUAGCGAAUCCAUGCAAUAAUUUCUCCAAUUAAGUGCUAGAGAGUGGUGGGAGAAGGUGAAGACUUUCCACGGAGAGAUCAGGAAAGGCCUUUCAGAGGUGGCAUUUGAGCUGAAUGUCGAAGGAGGAGAAGGAAUCAUGGUGAAGACGGUGGGAACAAGUAAUCCAGGAUCCAGGAAAAGCCAGUGCAGAGAUCCAGAGGCAGGAGCCAGCUCAGUGUUUCAGCUGGAGAUGCUGGUGAAAGAGGGGGCAGAGCGAGGGAGAUGGAACCCAAGGCCAAGGUCAGGUGUGGUGGUGUAGGCUAUGAUAAGGAAUUUGGACUUUUUCUGGUUGCAGUGGGAAGCUAGUGGAGGAUUUUGAACUUGGGAAUGCCCCUGAUCUGACUUAUGUUUUAAUAGAUUGGCUGAAGAAUGGACAGGAGAUGGGUAAGAGUGGAGGCAGGAAGACAAAUUAGGUGGCUUUUGCAGCAAUCCAGGCAUCAUCAACCAGAGAUGAUGGUGGUUUAAAUUCAUGUGUAGCAGUGCACUGGUGAGAAGUCAGAUUCAGGAUUUAUUUUGGAGGUGGGACCAGGUGGAGUGAAGAGAAUAACCAAGGAUGCUCCCUAAGCUUUUGUUCUGAACAGCUGAAUGGGUGAUGGUGCCAUUUCUGUGAUGAAGAACAUUUGGAGACAACGCCUAUCAGACCUCCAAGUGGACAUGUGUAACAAGGCAAUUGGAAUUACAAAUUUAGAGCUGGAAAUACAAAUGAAGGAAACAUCAGGGUAUGAAAGGUAUUGAAAACCAUCUCUCUGCAGAGAUCCAGAUCAGAGUCCUGGUACACUCCUAGAUGCAGAGAUUUGACACAUGUGGAGAAGAAACCUGUGAAAGAGGAGGAAAACCAGGCUAGAGUCUGGGGUUACUGAACCCAGGGGAAGUGCUGCAACCAUGUCAGUUGCUCCUGUGAGGCUGAGAAUAUGGCAGACUGAGCAUGAAGAUGGGCUUUGGCAAGAUGUAGUCACGGAUGACCUUAAAAGGGACUGGUUUAGAGACGUGAUGGGGUCCAGGGCCCAAAUGGCAAGGAUUGAAAGGAAUGAGGUCACAUUGGUCAUCGUGUCGUCACAGAGCCCUUACAGCCAGUAGGCAGUAACAUUGUCUAUUUCUCUUACUUCCAUAUCCCUAGUACCGAGCACUGUGCCUGACACAAGCUCAGUAAAUGUUUGCUAAAUAGGUGAAUCCUUGAAAUGUGAAACUGACAUCACAACAAGGAAGUAAACCAAAAAGGAAGACAUAGGAUCCAGGAAACAAGAAUUCGAACCCGAGAGAGGUUUGUUCGGGUGGACCUUAAUCCGACAUGACUGGUGUCCUUAUAAGAAGAUGACAUUAGGACCCAAACAAAAUGUAGGGAUAACCUGGUGAGGAACCAGAAGAUGGCCAUCUGCAGUCCAAGGAGAGGGCCUUAGAAGAAAUCGAACCUGCCAACAUCUUGGCCUUGGGCUUCCAGCUUCCCAAACUGAGAAAACACAUUUCUAUUACUUAAGCCACUCAGUCUGUGGUGCUUUGUUAUGGCAGCACCAGGAAACCAGUACAUGUAUGUGAUAAAAUAUAUUUAAUGAGUGUUUAUUUA